rnacentral:rRNA from 1 species
UACGUAGGCAGCAAGCGUUGUUCGGAGUUACUGGGCGUAAAGGGUGUGUAGGCGGUUCUUUUAAGUUUGCUGUGAAAUCUCCCGGCUUAACCGGGAGGGUGCGGUGAAUACUGAGGGACUAGAGUACGGGAGAGGAAAGUGGAAUUCCUGGUGUAGCGGUGAAAUGCGUAGAUAUCAGGAGGAACACCGGUGGUGUAGACGGCUUUCUGGACCGUAACUGACGCUGAAACACGAAAGCGUGGGUAGCAAACAGG